rnacentral:rRNA from 1 species
UACGUAGGGGGCCAGCGUUGUCCGGAAUCAUUGGGCGUAAAGCGCGCGUAGGCGGCCAGAUAAGUCCGGUGUGAAAGUCAAAGGCUCAACCUUUGAAUGCCGCUGGAAACUGCCUGGCUUGAGUCCGGAAGGGGCGAAGUGGAAUUCCUGGUGUAGCGGUGAAAUGCGCAGAUAAUCAGGAGGAACACCAUGGCGAAGGCAGACUCGCUGGAACGGUACUGACGCUGAGGCGCGAAAGCGUGGGGA